rnacentral:rRNA from 1 species
CUGGCUCAGAACGAACGCUGACGGUAUGCCUCAUACAUGCAAGUCGAGCGGGCACAGCAAUGUGUCAGCGGCGAACGGGUGAGUAACGCGUGAACAAUCUGCCCCUGAAUUUGGGAUAACGGUUCCAACGAGCCGCUAAUACCGGAUAGAUUAGUCUGGUCGCAUGGCUGGAUUAAGAAAGUCGCAAUUGCGACGUUCAGGGAUGAGUUCGCGUCCCAUUAGCUAGUUGGCGGGGUAAAGGCCCACCAAGGCGACGAUGGGUAGCCGGCCUGAGAGGGUGAUCGGCCACAUUGGGACUGAGAUACGGCCCAGACUCCUACGGGAGGCAGCAGUAGGGAAUUUUGCGCAAUGGACGAAAGUCUGACGCAGCAAUACCGUGUGAGGGAUGAAGCAUUUCGGUGUGUAAACCUCUGUCGAUGAUGAAUAAAGCAUUCGAGAGUGGAAAGCUCGGGUGUUGAAGGUAAUCAUGAAGGAAGCACCGGCUAACUCUGUGCCAG